rnacentral:rRNA from 1 species
AUGAACGCUGGCGGCGUGCCUAAUACAUGCAAGUCGAGCGAACGGACGAGAAGCUUGCUUUUCUGAUGUUAGCGGCGGACGGGUGAGUAACACGUGGAUAACCUACCUAUAAGACUGGGAUAACUUCGGGAAACCGGAGCUAAUGCCGGAUAAUAUUUUGAACCGCCUGGUUCAAAAGUGAAAGACGGUCUUGCUGUCACUUAUAGAUGGAUCCGCGCUGCAUUAGCUAGUUGGUAAGGUAACGGCUUACCAAGGCAACGAUGCAUAGCCGACCUGAGAGGGUGAUCGGCCACACUGGAACUGAGACACGGUCCAGACUCCUACGGGAGGCAGCAGUAGGGAAUCUUCCGCAAUGGGCGAAAGCCUGACGGAGCAACGCCGCGUGAGUGAUGAAGGUCUUCGGAUCGUAAAACUCUGUUAUUAGGGAAGAACAUAUGUGUAAGUAACUGUGCACAUCUUGACGGUACCUAAUCAGAAAGCCACGGCUAACUACGUG